CACUGUCACUCCUACGGGGAGGCAGCAGUGGGGGAAUAUUGCACAAUGGGCGCAAGCCUGAUGCAGCCAUGCCGCGUGUGUGAAGAAGCCGUUCGGGUUGUAAAGCACUUUCAGUCGUGAGGAAGGUGGUAGUGUUAAUAGCACUAUCAUUUGACGUUAGCGACAGAAGAAGCACCGGCUAACUCCGUGCCAGCAGCCGCGGUAAUACGGAGGGUGCGAGCGUUAAUCGGAAUUACUGGGCGUAAAGCGCAUGCAGGUGGUUUGUUAAGUCAGAUGUGAAAGACCCGGGCGUCAACCUACGGAAUAGCAUUUAGUAAACUAGGCAGACUAGAGUACUGUAGAGGGGGGUAGGAAUUUCAGGUGUAGCGGUGAAAAUGCGUAGAGAUCUGAAGGAAUACCGGUGGCGAAGGCGGCCCCCUCGGACAGAUACUGACACUCAGAUGCGAAAGUUUUUUCGUGGGGAGCAAACAGGAUUAGAUACCCUGGUAG
rnacentral:rRNA from 1 species